ACGCUGGCGGCGUGCUUAACACAUGCAAGUCGAGCGGAAAGGCUCCUUCGGGGGUACUCGAGCGGCGAACGGGUGAGUAACACGUGAGUAAUCUGCCCUUGGCUUUGGGAUAAGCCCCGGAAACGGGGUCUAAUACCGGAUACGACGCACUCUCGCAUGGGAUGUGUGUGGAAAGUUUUUUCGGCCAGGGAUGUGCUCGCGGCCUAUCAGCUUGUUGGUGGGGUAAUGGCCUACCAAGGCUUCGACGGGUAGCCGGCCUGAGAGGGUGACCGGCCACACUGGGACUGAGACACGGCCCAGACUCCUACGGGAGGCAGCAGUGGUGAAUAUUGGACAAUGGGCGGAAGCCUGAUCCAGCAACGCCGCGUGAGGGAUGACGGCCUUCGGGUUGUAAACCUCUUUCAGUACCGACGAAGCGCCGAUGAUGGUGGUGACGGUAGGUACAGAAGAAGCACCGGCCAACUACGUG
rnacentral:rRNA from 1 species